rnacentral:lncRNA from 12 species
GUCAAAAGGCAGAAUCAGUGAAACGUGUGUGACCUUCACCACAUUGUUGAAUGAUUGCCCAUCAAACGAUAUAAAGAGUAAAGGACUACUGGGCAAGUGACUCUGCCGUGCCAACUAGAAUUCUGGAAUGUAAAUCAGGAAAUCUAGACCGAGCUAUCCAUCACCACCCAUCCGGCUAUCCGUCUUCUUCUAUUCAUUCAGUCGAGCAAGAUUUACAGAGUGCUUCUAUAAUGCCUGGAGUGUCUCUAAUACCACGGCUCUCGUGAGGUAAUACAAACUUUUCCAGCUCUGUUUCCUUGCAUAAUAAAAUUAGGUGAUUUGACA